GCGCCCGUAGCUCAGCUGGAUAGAGCAACGGAUUUCUAAUCCGUCGGUCGGGGGUUCGAAUCCCUCCGGGCGCG
rnacentral:tRNA from 1 species